rnacentral:lncRNA from 1 species
CAAAUAUGACAUCCAUGGGUUGAUUGAUAUGAUUUAUAUUGUUCCUUACUCUCAGAACUAGAACUGAGAAUGAUUUACAACAAAAUAAAAAACCAGUGGAUACAAACAGAUUCUUCUACCACAACACUGCCCGGUGCGACCACAGAAGAGACUCCUGGCACCAUUGAACCCGUGGUGCUGACAACCGAGUCUCCUGACAUGACAGGGAAGCCUGGGUGGUGUCCUGUGCGAAAGUUGCCUCAUCCCCAUCAUGGCCGACCUCAUAAACAAAAGAAACAGAAGAAGUUCCGUUUCUCUUCAAAAGAGGACACAGGCAACCAAAAGAGGACAAAGGCAACCAAGAAGUGGACACAAUACGUUUUCGAAAAUAUGUGA